rnacentral:rRNA from 1 species
UGGGGAAUUUUGGACAAUGGGCGCAAGCCUGAUCCAGCCAUCCCGCGUGCAGGACGAAGGCCUUCGGGUUGUAAACUGCUUUUGUACGGAACGAAAAGCCCUUCUCUAAUACAGAGGGGUCAUGACGGUACCGUAAGAAUAAGCACCGGCUAACUACGUGCCAGCAGCCGCGGUAAUACGUAGGGUGCAAGCGUUAAUCGGAAUUACUGGGCGUAAAGCGUGCGCAGGCGGUUGUGUAAGACAGAUGUGAAAUCCCCGGGCUCAACCUGGGAACUGCAUUUGUGACUGCACAGCUGGAGUGCGGCAGAGGGGGAUGGAAUUCCGCGUGUAGCAGUGAAAUGCGUAGAUAUGCGGAGGAACACCGAUGGCGAAGGCAAUCCCCUGGGCCUGCACUGACGCUCAUGCACGAAAGCGUGGGGAGCAAACA